UACGGAGGGUGCGAGCGUUGUCCGGAAUCACUGGGCGUAAAGCGCGCGCAGGCGGCUUUUUAAGUCCGACGGUGAAAUGCCGGGGCUCAACCCCGUGCCCGCCGCGGAUACUGGAGAGCUGGAGACGAGUAGAGGCAAGCGGAAUUCCGGGUGUAGCGGUGGAAUGCGUAGAGAUCCGGAAGAACACCGGAGGCGAAGGCGGCUUGCUGGGCUCGGUCUGACGCUGAGGCGCGAAAGCGUGGGGAGCGAACAGG
rnacentral:rRNA from 1 species